CUUAGUCCCUAUGGCUAUCCCUACAUUACUAGGUUUAAACACUCCAGGAAUUAGCCACUCUUUCGAGCUUUAGUUUACUUUACAUGAAUGUUAAAUACUAUGAGACGACUGUGCAUGGAGUUGUGAUGCAUCUCAAAUGUGUUAUAUCUUGCAGAGGAACAGGAGAAGGAGAGACAGGCAGCUGAAACCAUUGAAGAAGAUUAGCAAAAGGAA
rnacentral:lncRNA from 1 species